UACGAAGGUGGCAAGCGUUACUCGGAAUUACUAGGCGUAAAGGGCAGGUAGGUGGUUUGGUAAGUCUGUUGUGAAAUCUCCCGGCUUAACUGGGAGAGGCCAACAGAUACUACCAGGCUUGAGUAUAGGAGAGGGUACUGGAAUUCCCGGUGUAGCGGUGAAAUGCGCAGAGAUCGGGAGGAACACCAAUGGCGAAAGCAGGUACCUGGACUAUUACUGACACUCAGCUGCGAAAGCUAGGGGAGCAAAC
rnacentral:rRNA from 1 species